AGUCAACACAGUAAAAAACAAAUGUUUGACCGUUUGUCUUAUCUACACAAUGAAAACAAUUCCUUCAAUAAAUCUUCCUCCAUUAGCUACUGCCCCUAAGUGGUCACUGUCUGAUCCUGCCAGUGCCCUUCACCAGUGUAUCUUGGGCACCUGCCGUGAGCAGAUGGAGCGUCGGGCACUUGCCCACGUUCGUCCUCACUGAGGCCUCACUACCCCCAUCUCGCAGCUGGGGAAGCAGGCGGCGUGGCCGGGUGGGAAGCCAAGUCCCCCAACCGUGGGUCCAGUGUCCUUUCCCUGCCCCAGUAAACACCCCUAGCACAACAGAACUGACCGGCCCUCCGAGCCAUGUUGACGGCAGCCCAGCUCAGCGACCGUGUCCAUCAGCAAUUUCUCGGCAGUCACCCCCUGGAUUGAUGCUGCACCCAUUAAGGGCAGCUGUGGUCAGACUGGAUGUGCCUGUGGACCCAGAAUACUGAUGACCUGAUUUCUCCCAGGAGGCUCUCAGCUUCUGGGAAGGACCUGGCACAAGGAGACUUCUCCAAGAGUGCUGUCUUCCCAGGUGUGUGGCCUCUUGAAGAGCCGACCAAGGACAGGUGAGAUGGCUGCUUUAUUCCCCACCAUACACCAGCCCAUGUCCUUUAGGGAAGUGGCAUUUCAAGCAGAUUAAGUUCAGCAAAGAGCCCCGCAGUGAGUUAGAAAUUCCUUUUGAUAAAAAAAAAAAAACCUUUUAUUUCAAACGCAGAGAGGCCAGGAGUGAGUUUAUGUUUUUAAUAAGCUGUUCUGUAUUCUGAAUUUGAUUUUAUUUUUCAAAGUGGACGAAAGGAAAACUGGGGAUGGGGAAAAAUCUAUUAACUAUUAAUAUUUGUCCACAUGGCCAAAGCGCAGCAGGUGGGAGUGAGAGUGGGUGACGUUUAGGGGUUCAGGGGAUGCUGCAGCCCCCAGAUCGCAGAUUAGAGGGCCCUCGGGGUGAAGGCAGUGGCUGUCUUAUUUUGAACAAUGGAGCAAUGGGAAGCUCCUGGCUUGGAAGCCGCCUGUGCCUUUUCCGUCUUCUCAUGGCUCGACGUGAAGAUGGCCCCAUCUCCAAUUCCAGGAACCCUCGUUUCAGCCUAGCCGGGCAAGGGCCUGAUGGUAUCAGCAGCCUCCAGCGGAAUUGGAAAUUAAUUCACGCCCCUAGCAUGUCUCCAGGCAUCCUCCACUCUGUGCUGAAUUAUUCCUCCGGAGGAAAGAAGGAAUAAAUACUAUCGCCUGUCCCUUCAUGGUAUUUUUCUUCCUCCUGGGAAGGGAACAUCCUCUGCCAUCCACACUCACCUGCUCUGUCACCUAGGAAGUCCAAGCACCGUGUUUGAGCUUUCUGGCACAAACAGCUGGCACAGAGGAUGGAUGGGGGCAAGAGCUUGAGGCCCCCGGCACUGGAUUCUGGAGACCGUGUCCUAAUCUCAUCUCUGCUUCUGACUUUGUGUGGUCUUGGGAAAGCCUUGAGCCCCCUUCAUGCUGGUCAGGUAAAAUGCUGAACUGGUGGGUGACCUGUAAGCCCCUUCCCAGUGCUGAUGUUUGAUUCCCUGUGGGAUUUCUGUCUCAUGUCUCAAAAAUUUGAGUUUUUAUCUGUUAGCAAUAGGAAGAGAGAACUGAUACUGGGUUAGAUAAGAUUGCCAUGUGAGGAGUUGGCUGGUCCAUCCAGGCACUUGUAACUUGUUUGACUCUAAGGGCCUGGCUUGGGUGUGUCCUCUGCCCCGCCGAUUGCAGCUUGAGUUGUCCCCAUUAGCUCCUGGACCUGCUGAGCUGAUUAGCUCCCUAGCAUCCAUCAGUCCCCCGCUGCAAAUCCUUCCUGGUCACUGCUGUGUAGGCUGCAGUCCCAGUUUUCAUAUUUGGUUUAUCAAUGUCUUUCCUGGCUGGACGCAGCCUGCUUCCAACCCUGCCUCAUCUCAAAUCUCAUCUUCUGCCUUUUCCUGAGCAGGUCAUGUUUAUUCAGGCCUCUGCAUUUAAAUACACUGGUCCUUUGGCUGGGAGCACCCUCUCUCCUCCCCUCUGCUCGACAGACUCCUACAUGUCCUGCAAUAGCUGAAAUAUCCAUUUCUCUCGGAUUCUCUUUCUGAUCUCCAAACACAUCGAGUAUAUGCAGCUUAAUUUCCACAGCAUGGCUCAUCUUCCCUAAUAUCCCUGACAUAUUUAUUGAAAAGAGUUUGGCAUUGAGCUAGAGAUAGAUGCAAAAACAUUGCUCGUUAUUCCAAGACCGAGACACAGAUAGACAAUUAUGGCGCUGUAAAAUCAGGGCUUUGGUGGAGGAAAGCGUGAAAACCAGUGGGAGCGCAGUGUGCCUGGCAUUCCCGACUGGACUGCAAACAUGGGCUUACGUGCCGUCCCUUGCCCUCACUAGACUGUGAUCUCUCUGUGGGUAGGGGCCGGAGUGAUCAUCUCAGCAUCUGCAGCGCUCAAACCUGGCGCACAGUAGGUCUCAUCAAGUAUUUGCAACGUGAUGAGUGGAUGAGACGUGGAGCUCCGGGUUUGGGGAGGGGUCGCCUGCACAAUGAUUAAUAGUGCUCCGUAGGUCCCCUCUAUGGGUGCACAGCGGCAAAGGGAUGGGAGUCCCUCAGCUUCCCGACAAAUGCGCAGACAGUGAGGGUGAGAGUAGGGACUGAGGUGGGGGGCAUGAAGCUAAUUUCCCCCCUUUUUAAGGAAAUGCAUCCCAGAAAUCUCUCAAUUCCUCUGAGGAACCACACACGCACGCAGCUUAGAGUUAAAUCAUUUGUAUCCACACGCUCUAAAUAUAUACGUAGAAAUAAUGCAUAUAUGCAUGCUUCUAUAAUUUAUCUCUACUAACUAGACAUUGAGAGUAUUUGCAUCUACUGAAAAUACAUAAAUUAUUUGUUUCCUUCAAUUAUAGAUGGCAUAUUUAUAACAAGCACACAUAAAUUGUGAGUGCAUGUUAUAAAUAUAUAAUCCUGUUUGCUGACAUUUAUCAGCCAUAUGCUGUGUGCCAAGCUCGGUGCUAGCACUUUGCAGUCAUUAUUUCACUUCAUCUUCACUGUUGUCCCGUGGAGAAGAUGCGAUGCAGUGGUUUUCAACUUUCUCUUUUUAAACCAAACUUAUUUUUAAAAUAAAAUAUUGUGUGGGAAUUUCAACAUAUAGAAGAGACGAAAGCUUUGCUGCAGACCUGGAGACCUUCCUGCCUCCCUCUAUCCCCGCCCUCCAUGCCAAAGAGGAGGAGGCAAGAGGACUGGAUUCCCGGGCUGGGACACUCUACCUCGCCAGCUGUGUGAUCUGGGCAGCACUGUGCUCCUUGCUCUUCCUGGGACCCGUGAGCAUGCCUCUGCCUCAGGGCCUUUGCACCUGCCACCCUCUCCUGGAUCCUCCUUCCUGCAGAAUUUGAAGGAAAUCUCAGCAUGGAGAACAAAGGCUGAUCAGAAUCCUGACGUGGGAAGUGCAGGCUCCAUCCGUGGAAGGUGGAAGGCUCUGUCCAGUGGCCAUGCCUCCCUACAGUGUAGCUGCUGUCAUUUCUCAAGUUCUCCAGCCUUUUGUUUCAGCCACCUGGAAAGAGCCAUCUCAGUUUCAUUUCUAAGAACCUGAACAAAAGACUGAUUUGGUGCAGUUUGGCGUAGGUGUCCAGACCUAAGCCAUUGGUGGUAGCCUGCUUCUAGAGGAUGCCUGUGUUCCUUGGCUCCUGGCCACGUCACCCUGACCUCUGCACCUGUGGUCAAACCGUCUUCUCUCACUCAGACCCUCCUGCCUCCCUCUUAUGAGGUCUCUUGUGAUGACAUUGGGCGCACCCAGAUAACCCAGGUAAUCUCCCAUUUGCGAGAUCUUUAAUUUAGUCACCUCUGCAAAGUCCUUUGUGUUACGGGCUGAAUGUUUGUGCCGGCACCCCCUACCCCCCGCCAACAAACCAUAUGUUGAAGGCCUGACCCCCAAGGUGAUGGUCUCUGGAGACGGGGCCUUUGGGAGGUGCCUAGGGUUGGGCUGGGUCAUGAGGAUGGGGCCCUCACCAUGAGAUUAGUGGCCUUAUUGGGGGCGAGCACAGAAGAAAGGCUGUGUGAGGAGGCAGUGAGAAGACAGCUGUCUGCACCACCGCUUGACCUCUGCCUCCCUCUCAGUGGCAUCCUCGGUCCUGGCUCCCUCUUCUGCAUUCCCACAGCACUUCUCCAGUGUCUCGGUUACUGGGUCCCGCUUCCUCCAAUGAUCCAGGACUCUCAACUGCGGAGACAGACAAGGGCUCCAGGACCUCCUCCAGCACCUGUGCUCACUCUGGGGGAAGAUUUCCCCCCAAAGCUGCCGGGCCCUGGGAGGCAUGUCUGCCCUGUGUUAGGUCCUGGCACAACACCAUGGGUUUGCUGGUGACAAGUAACUGAUGCAGGGGGGUCUGGAGGUGGCCAGACCUACCACGUAGACCAGAUGCCAUCACUGACCGGCUCCGGUGUGACCGUGGACACGCCACUUCAACUUCUUCACCUGGGAAUAGGGGCUGAUGUUCUCCAUUUUGAAUGGACUUGAGGGACACUGAAUCCAACCACUUUUUCAGGUUUUGAGGAAAAAGGUUCAAUUUAUUCAUCUCUGCAACGUGAAGCAUAAUAGGGUUUUGGGAGGGGUAGAGAUAAUACGUAUGCAAUGCUGCCACGUGGAAGGUACUCUACACGUAGGAAUUAUGGUGGCAUGAUUAUGUUUCUUGGUCUCACCGAUGUUCUGUGUUCUCCCAUUUACUGGAGCCUAUGCAAGUAGAGUGUCCAAGAGCCACACCAGGAGCUGCUCCAGUGGUUCUGAGCUCACAAGACACGUCUCCCCAAGUUUGAGUUGGCACUAGUUAUGCGCACCUUUGUUCCUUUUAUAUUUCUGCAAACUCUGAGUGAGGAGAGAAUUUCUUUCCCAGGCAGCAUCUAAACCACAACAUGUUCUCUGUCUUCAUUCUCACCCACUUGGUUAUUUAUUUUUUGUUUUUUUUUUCGCCUCUCCCUUUCAGGCUUUUUUUUUUUGUCCUUUAGAUGUGGUGGCCACGCUAUCAGGACUGUGGAACUGGUUUUCUGUGAUGAAUAAUACCAUGGCCCUUCCCUAAACAACAAAGAAGGGAUCAUGAAGCUACUCAAAAGAGGCCAAUGUCUGCUUCUAGAACAUAGGGCUUUGGGAGAAAAAAGAAAGAGGGAGGCUAAAGUCCUGGAGUGAAAAGAUAAAUGCCUUUAUGUACAAAUUAAAUUAAAUCAGCUAAGUAGUAAAAUAAAUUAAAAAAUAUAAACACAUUUAUGUAAUUAAAAUAUUACUAAGUAUUGAAAUAUAU